rnacentral:lncRNA from 1 species
UACAUUCGACGGUGGGCAGGAAAUAGUCGUUGCAAAUAAUAGCGAGCAGUAUGAAGAAAUAGACGGCGGCAAAGACAUGCAACACGACCCAGCCUUGACGUAAUUGCUCCACUGUUCGGAGGAGAAGAGAGGUGAAGAGUGUUAAGUUUGCCAUUUACAUGCAGACACCAUAUAACACCGUGUCACACAUGAUGUGCGUGCGAACGCGUGGUAAAUGAAAACAAUAACAUCGAAUAACGUAAAUUUAAAGCGUUGAUGUAAACAAACAAGGGAAUAAUAAGCUUUUUAAAAAUAAGUGAAUUUUGAUUAAUUUUGAGUUAAUGUUGUGUUGUGUGUGUGAUUUAAAGUGUUAAAAAAAGUUUAGAAUAGUGUAAUGAGAAUAGUGUAAAAAAAUCAUAGUGAAAAUUUGUGAAAAUUGUGCAAUCAAGUCAUAGUGAAAAUUUGUGAGACACGUGUGCGAAAGCAGCUGGGAAAUUGGCUUAAAUAUUCAGCGCUAACUGCGGUAUUUCAGUGCGCAAACGACUUACAUAUUUUGUGGACCUAUGGAAUGAAAUUGAAAUGCUCAAAUAGCAAAAGAGCAGUUAAUUCGUGUUGGUGCAGCGUAAUUUAGAGCGCAUAUUAUUUUGUGCAACAUAACCUUAAUGCAGUGAACUAGCAGUUGAGUUAGCGCACUUUGUACGCAUUAGCGGUACAUUUGUAAUGAUAAACUAGGAUUGCGGGCAAUGCUUAAAGUUUGCUCGAAACUUUUUACAAAAAGACUGGGGUUUACUUUUUUGCUGGUUAUUUAUUUACUACGGCACAUAAGCAACAAAGCUUGAGUUAAGCAAUAAGCAGCAAGUGUGAAGGCAGCGACACUUUAUUAAGGCGCAACAACAAAGUAACCCUGAGUAAUUCACAACUAGAUGUCGCUCUCGUCAUGAUAAAAGUGGUAAAGGUGGCUUAAAGUGUGUAAAUAAGAAGCAGAAAUUAUGAAGUUAUUAGAAAAAGUGAUUCAAGUGCAAUAGCAAAGCGCCUAGCAGGCAUAAACGCCACGCUGCUUUAUGUGUUAAAAUCGUCAACAGGAGCUUUGCUUAUGCUCCUUUUUUCUAACAUUUACGCUUCUGUAGAGUAAAUUUGGUGUAAAGUGCAUUAAAUGUUAAAUAUUAUUAAGUAUUCAUCAUGAAUACUCGAAAGUGUUACAUCUCAAUUAUAGUGUGCAUGCACGACCGAAUAAUGUGUGCAGGUGUUCGGAGCUUCGAUUUUAUAUUACAAAACAGCAAUAAUUAUAUUAACGAUGUAUGAAGUAUACAAGAAUAUCUCUGUUGGUGUGGAGCUGCAAACUCUUACUUAAUCAGUUACUACCAACACGGCAGCAUCUGAAACGAUUCACGCCUUAUACAGUAUACCGUAAUCUACCCGCUUGUUGUUGCACUGGACAGCGAUUGCACAAAGGAGCUUUAAGCUCAUUACUAGAAAUCGUUUGAGCACCUACGCCGUCAUUGAGCUUUUUGUCGUCCAGUUAAGUUAGCAUAACGAGCACACCGUUAUUUUGGAGCAAAAAUUCCGCAUAACAACUAGUCUUCAAUUCUUCAAUGUACUUAAAGAAAAAUCAUCAUUUCGACUAGCAAGUUCACAUUCUCCGAGAGUGCCGAUAAUUACUGUUAGAAGACAAAUUUUUCAGAGCCAAAUGUUUGGGAGGUGGUCUGUGUCAGAUUUGUUGAGCUGCUGAAGAUUUAUUGUAUUACUAAAUGAAUUAAAGGGAACUGGGAGUAAGCUGUCCUAGAGCUGUUGUGGCAUAGUGCAAUUAUUUUGUGCGGCGCUGUAUGCAUGCAACCUUCUUGGCAGUUCCGCGAAAGUCUCGGUACUUCCAGAACAGUUAACUUCACCCAAGUGAAUGUAACAAGUCGAAAGUGAACGCAUAAAAAAAGAAAAAAUAAAUAAAUAAAAAAAACUAUAAAUUUGCAAACAGAAAUGUAAAUUUGUGAG